ensembl:snoRNA
CCUGAUCCUAAAGGCACUGCAGGUGUGGCUGCUGUGUCACACGUGUGUUAGUAGGCGACAGAGAGGAGAGAGGCUGUGUCUACGCUCAGCGAUCUGAUCUAUGAACAUCUGAAUGAUUAGUAGCUUAACAUU